rnacentral:rRNA from 1 species
UACGAAGGGGGCUAGCGUUGCUCGGAAUCACUGGGCGUAAAGGGUGCGUAGGCGGGUUUUUAAGUCAGAGGUGAAAUCCUGGAGCUCAACUCCAGAACUGCCUUUGAUACUGGAAAUCUUGAGUAUGGGAGAGGUGAGUGGAACUGCGAGUGUAGAGGUGAAAUUCGUAGAUAUUCGCAAGAACACCAGUGGCGAAGGCGGCUCACUGGCCCAUAACUGACGCUGAGGAACGAAAGCUAGGGGAGCAAACAGG